GAUGAACGCUGGCGGCGUGCUUAACACAUGCAAGUCGAACGGAAAGGUCCAAGCUUGCUUGGGUCCUCGAGUGGCGAACGGGUGAGUAACACGUGGGUGAUCUGCCAUGCACUUCGGGAUAAGCCUGGGAAACUGGGUCUAAUACCGGAUAGGACGAUGGUUUGGAUGCCAUUGUGGAAAGUUUUUUCGGUGUGGGAUGAGCUCGCGGCCUAUCAGCUUGUUGGUGGGGUAAUGGCCUACCAAGGCGUCGACGGGUAGCCGGCCUGAGAGGGUGUACGGCCACAUUGGGACUGAGAUCCGGCCCAGACUCCGACGGGAGGCAGCAGUCGGGAAUAUUGCACAAUGGGCGCAAGCCUGAUGCAGCGACGCCGCGUGGGGGAUGACGGCCUUCGGGUUGUAAACUCCUUUCGCUAGGGACGAAGCGUUUUUGUGACGGUACCUGGAGAAGAAGCACCGGCUAACUACGUG
rnacentral:rRNA from 1 species